rnacentral:rRNA from 1 species
GAUGAACGCUGGCGGCGUGCCUAACACAUGCAAGUCGAACGGACUUAAGACGCUGAUGAGGCUUCGGCGGAUUCUUGUUUUAAGUUAGUGGCGGACGGGUGAGUAACGCGUGGGCAACCUGCCUCAUACUGGGGGAUAGCAGUUGGAAACGACUGAUAAUACCGCAUAAGCGCACAGAGUCGCAUGACUCAGUGUGAAAAACUCCGGUGGUAUGAGAUGGGCCCGCGUCAGAUUAGCUAGUUGGUAAGGUAACGGCUUACCAAGGCGACGAUCUGUAGCCGGACUGAGAGGUCGGACGGCCACAUUGGGACUGAGACACGGCCCAAACUCCUACGGGAGGCAGCAGUGGGGGAUAUUGCACAAUGGAGGAAACUCUGAUGCAGCGACGCCGCGUGAGUGAAGAAGUAUUUCGGUAUGUAAAGCUCUAUCAGCAGGGAAGAAAGGCUCGUAAGAGAGAUGACGUA